ACGCUCGACACCUACGGGGGCAGCAGUCGGGAAUAUUGCGCAAUGGAGGAAACUCUGACGCAGUGACGCCGCGUGCAGGAAGAAGGUUUUCGGAUUGUAAACUGCUUUAGACAGGGAAGAAAGAAAUGACAGUACCUGUAGAAUAAGCUCCGGCUAACUACGCGCCAGCAGCCGCGGUAAUCUGAGCGGGCUGGCAAGGC
rnacentral:rRNA from 1 species